AUUUCAUGAGCCCAACACGGGCUGUUCAAUCCUCUGAGGAGAAACGGGCUCUGAUGGCCGUUGUUGUAGGAUUCAAGGUCGCAUUUUUGUAGCAAAGCAUCGUCAUCUUCUAUCCUUAUCCUCUUUGCUGCUCGAAAUUCUGCAGCAGCAGCAACAGCAGGUCGUAUUUCGUUUCUGUCUACCUCAGAGUCGGACUCCUCGCACAGAGAAGGCAGGGAUGCAGCUGGAGAGCGAAUAUGUGAUGAUACCGGCUGGCUGACGACGACGACUUGCAUAUCGGAUUUUAUUUUUGAUGCAUAAACGGUAAAAAAGUGCAGACGGGAGGGAAACAGAGAAACUCUUUAGUGACAGAGACGAAAAUUUCCCAUGAUGAUCGCGAUGACAGAAGGGCAGGGUGGGAGAAGCAGCAGCAAGAUUCCAGCCAAAAUGUUGGAUCAAAUUGAACAAUCAAAAAAUUUGAAUGGAGCGGAGUGACUCAUGAAGGCAGGGGAGAGCACCUGCAAGUGGCUUUUAACGUGGAAAAUAGUGAGUCCAG